rnacentral:lncRNA from 1 species
UCAGCUUCGGGGAGGGUUGAGCGCUCACAAACAUGCUGUUGUGCUGUUAAACCACUGUACUAGGUUAGGGGAUGGUUGGGAUCCGCGGCUUACAUUUAUCCCGCCAAAUUAUGUAUGUAAAAAACUAUAUGCUUGUCCCAAGUCAGGAGCCUGUAAGUCAGUGGUUGUUGUGUGUUGCUGUGUUACUGAGGCCAAAUAAAAAUAUAUGUGUGGUUCCAGUAACCCUACC